rnacentral:lncRNA from 10 species
UCCUCCUCCCACAAUGAUAUCAGUGGAGAUCACAUGGGAGUCAGAACCCUCUUUCCAGCAGUAACAGGUGAGAAAAGACAUGAAGCAGUUGAGGGACCAAGAAAUGCAUCCUCUGCUGAAGCUAACGGUUGUUGAACUGAUCUUAGAGUCAAAACUGUCUUCCACAAGCCACCAUACAAUACUUGAUUUAUCUACAACCUAAUCCCUAGAAGACAAACUUCAGCACUAUGGCCCAGGAACAAGGGACACAGGAUCAUAGGGAAAUACGUCUUCACAUAGCAGAUGGGAGCAAAAUAUGACUUGAAUAGUUCUAUUCUCAUCAAGACUGUUUGUAAGAAAUAGGCACUGGAGAUCCAGCUGAAGAAAAGAGAUUUACUUGAAACUCCAGGAUGGGGACAAUACUGAUGGCACCUUAUGGGAACUGGAGCUCCAUUACUUUCUAUAUUUCUUUGUUUCUGUUUCAUUACUAAGAAGAGCUUCCCUC